GCACUGCUGAAGAGUCCCAUGCUAGGAUGAAACGGCCGUCCAGUGC
rnacentral:hammerhead_ribozyme from 1 species